GUCGAAAUUAAGAAUGAUCUUAACGGUAUAUAUAAAAAGUAUUUCAAUAUUUUUUAUUUGAGGAGAAAUGGUGGUAUCACCAUAUUUGAGUGGUCGUAGUACCAUAUUGAUAGUUUGGAGAACUUAAAGUUAGAAUGGUGUUAACACCAUAUUUGAGUGGUCUCAGCACCAUAACAGAGUGGUAACAAUACCAUAUUAAAGUGGUUUCAGUAUUAAAGAGUGGUCUUAGUACCAUAUUUGAGGGUGUAAUUCUCGAACGGUUUUCUACAGUGCAGUAGUUAACCGCACAG
rnacentral:lncRNA from 1 species